rnacentral:rRNA from 1 species
GACGAACGCUGGCGGCGUGCCUAAUACAUGCAAGUAGAACGCUGAAGCGAGGAGCUUGCUCUUCUUGGAUGAGUUGCGAACGGGUGAGUAACGCGUAGGUAACCUGCCUUGUAGCGGGGGAUAACUAUUGGAAACGAUAGCUAAUACCGCAUAACAAUGGCUGACACAUGUCAUUUAUUUGAAAGGGGCAAUUGCUCCACUACAAGAUGGACCUGCGUUGUAUUAGCUAGUAGGUGAGGUAAUGGCUCACCUAGGCGACGAUACAUAGCCGACCUGAGAGGGUGAUCGGCCACACUGGGACUGAGACACGGCCCAGACUCCUACGGGAGGCAGCAGUAGGGAAUCUUCGGCAAUGGGGGCAACCCUGACCGAGCAACGCCGCGGGAGGGAAGAAGGGUUUCGGAUCGUAAAGCUCUGUUGUAAGUCAAGAACGGGUGUGAGAGUGGAAAGUUCACACUGUGACGGUAGCUUACCAGAAAGGGACGGCUAACUACGUG